rnacentral:lncRNA from 1 species
GAGAAUGGAGAUGCAGUAGCCCUCACCGGGCUCUGAACUAGGGGAGUGUGGAUUCUCAAAGAAUUCAUGAAAAUGUUCACAAUGGAGUCUUCUUAUGCAUCUGUUUUCCCUAGAGCAUUCAAUUCAAGCUCAUGAAAUAUCAGGUUGUACAAGAAGCAUGGCACCAGCAUCUGCAUCUGAUGAGGACCUCAGGGUGCUUCCACUUGUGGCGGAAGAAGGGGAGCCAGCAUGUGCAGAUACCACACGGCGAGAGAUGAAGGAAGAGAAAGAGGAGGAAGGUUCCAGGCUCUUUUUAACAAUCAGACCUCACAGGAACUAAUAGUGUGAGAAGAUGUUUAACAUAUUCUAAUAAGAUAUUCCUAAUAAACUGCCAUGAGAUAA